UACGAGGGGGGCAAGCGUUGUCCGGAAUCAUUGGGCGUAAAGAGCGUGUAGGUGGCUCGGUAAGUCCGCUGUAAAAGUCCAGGGCUCAACCCUGGAAAGCCGGUGGAAACUGUCGAGCUAGAGUCCGGAAGAGGCGAGUGGAAUUCCUGGUGUAGCGGUGAAAUGCGCAGAUAUCAGGAGGAACACCAAUGGCGAAGGCAGCUCGCUGGGACGGUACUGACACUGAGACGCGAAAGCGUGGGGAGCAAACAGG
rnacentral:rRNA from 1 species